ensembl:lncRNA LINC01483 long intergenic non-protein coding RNA 1483
AGAACAGACAUGGCAUUUAUACUGAGGACCAUGGACAGAGAACAUGGUGGGUCCUCACAUGGGCCCCAAAUCAAGUCUCAAGAACGAAGCCUGAAAUGUUGGAAUUUCGGUGACAGCUGUUUCUCACUGGGCAACUUUAUGAUCCAGGGUAACAGCAGAGAGGGACUUACUUAAAAAUAAGGAUCCUUCUGUGCCUAGCAGAGAAGGCCAACUAGUAUCCAGAGAAAACACUGGGAAAAACUUUGUGGUAUUCAGUGGGUUACAAGAUUGCCAUCUGCAUAUAUGAUUUUCCUCUUCCAUCUGUAGCACACUGCAUUGCCUCACAGCUAAAUUCCCACUGGAUUGUUGGUCUGAAUCACCGAUUGAAAAAUCAAAUGUCUUCAGGGACCCGGCAGGAUCCCGAAGGACGCCGCUCUAAGCCAGAGGGAGCGGUGUGUGUUGUGGCUGAAGUGGAAAAUACAAGCCCAGUUUAAGGGCAUUCAAACAUGAAUUGUUUUUUUUAAAGCCGUGCGAGUCAAACAAAACAUGUCAGCAGUUCUUAUUAGGCUAACAGGUUGCUGGUUUG